UCCCAGGUGGUCUAGUGGUUAAGAUUCGUGGCUCUCACUCACGCGGCCCGGAUUCGAUUCCCGUUCUGGGAA
rfam:Ciona savignyi cont_36665, whole genome shotgun sequence.